rnacentral:rRNA from 1 species
CCUACGGGAGGCAGCAGUGAGGAAUAUUGGUCAAUGGACGAGAGUCUGAACCAGCCAAGUAGCGUGAAGGAUGACUGCCCUAUGGGUUGUAAACUUCUUUUAUAAAGGAAUAAAACGAGGCACGUGUGCCUUUUUUCAUGUACUUUAUGAAUAAGGAUCGGCUAACUCCGUGCCAGCAGCCGCGGUAAUACGGAGGAUCCGAGGGUUAUCCGGAUUUAUUGGGUUUAAAGGGUGCGCAGGCGGAUUUUUAAGUCAGCGGUAAAAUCGUGGGGCUCAACCCCAUCCAGCCGUUGAAACUGGGGAUCUAGAGUGUGUGAGAGGUAUGCGGAAUGCGUGGUGUAGCGGUGAAAUGCAUAGAUAUCACGCAGAACCCCGAUUGCGAAGGCAGCAUACCGGUGCACAACUGACGCUCAGGCACGAAAGCGUGGGUAUCGAACAGGAUUAGAUACCCUUGUAGUC